UACAGAGGGGGCCAGCGUUAUUCGGAAUUAUUGGGCGUAAAGGGCGCGUAGGCGGCCAUGCGUGUCUUCCGUGAAAUCCCUCGGCUUAACUGAGGACGUGCGGAAGAAACUGCAAGGCUCGAGUCCGGAAGAGGCGAGUGGAAUUCCUGGUGUAGCGGUGAAAUGCGCAGAUAUCAGGAGGGAACACCGAUGGCGAAGGCAG
rnacentral:rRNA from 1 species